AAGAUGGGAGGCGGAAAAGACUUACGUAGGCGAGAGAAAUAAAAGAUUGGCCAAAGACACGAAUCGAGAUGGAAAGAUGUUUUAGACACUUACGAGUGCUAACACGAGGACCAACCUACGCAGGCGAGAAUAAUAUGAGCUUGGCCAAAGACACGGAGAUGGAAAGACGGGUUCUGCCCAGUAAAGACACUUAUGAGGGCCAGUACGUCCAUGGUGUGCGACAAGGUCUUGGCACCUACAAAGUCACAAAGAAGGACAACGUGCUGGCCAGUUACGAGGGCGAGUGGAGCGAAGGAGUGCGCAGUGGAUUUGGCACCUUGAUAUUCUCUGAUGGCUCCAAAUACAAAAAGGCUUUUGAGAAAAAGACAAACACCACGGCCGAGGAGUCAUGCUUUUUGCCAACGGCCAACAGUACUGUGGCCUGUGGAAGUCUGGCCUUUGUGACGACACCACAAGCUUCCUGAAGCACCAGCGCCUGCUGUUUGCGUCAUUUCUUGCUGGGAGAAUGGAAAAGACGUGGCCAAAGGUAUAAGCGAGCUGCUCGCCUACGAAGGAAAUGUGGAGGAGGAUAUGUGCAUGUCUUUUGAAGUGUCCUUGGAAGAAUAUGGGUCCGAAAAUGCACGUGACCAACGAAAACAGGGCGGAGUUUGUGGCCUUGUACUUGGACUGGGUGCUGAAUGCGUCCAUUUACCGGCAAUUCCGAGCUUUCUAUCUUGGCGUUUGCGCCUCUAAUGCAUUAAUUAAUUCUUCUUCGACCUGAGGAGGUGGAGCUGCUUGUUUGCGGCUCUCCGACAGUCGAUUUGGCAGAGUUGAGAAAAGUGACAGAGUAUGAUGGUUAUCGACCUGAUGAUCUGAUAAUAAGCAAUUUGUGGGACGUACUUGAAUCACUCGGCCCGGAUAUGCAAAGAAAAUUUUUACUUUUUGUCACCGGAAGUGAUCGAGUGCCCGUGGGCGGAACGGGAGAGAUGACUUUUAAAGUGACCAGGUCAAGUGGCAACGUUGAGGACCUCCCUGAAGCUCACACUUGCUUCAAUCAGUUGGUGCUACCAGCGUAUCCCAGCAAAGUGAUAUUAAUUAAAAAACUGACAAUUGCUAUAGCAAACGCAGAAGGAUUUGGUUUGGAAUAACGAGUGAUAUUAAUAAAAUUUUAAUUUGUUUUAAUAUUAUUGCUACUUAUUUAAAUAAAGUUUUGCAAUUAUUGUCUGUUUA